UACAGAAGGUGCAAGCGUUAAUCGGAAUUACUGGGCGUAAAGCGCGCGUAGGUGGUUCGUUAAGUUGGAUGUGAAAUCCCCGGGCUCAACCUGGGAACUGCAUCCAAAACUGGCGAGCUAGAGUAUGGUAGAGGGUGGUGGAAUUUCCUGUGUAGCGGUGAAAUGCGUAGAUAUAGGAAGGAACACCAGUGGCGAAGGCGACCACCUGGACUGAUACUGACACUGAGGUGCGAAAGCGUGGGGAGCAAACAGG
rnacentral:rRNA from 1 species